rnacentral:tRNA from 1 species
GCAGGCGGGUUUAAUCCCGUCCUUAUCAU